CCCACGGGGGGCAGCAGUGGGGAAUAUUGGACAAUGGGCGAAAGCCUGAUCCAGCCAUGCCGCGUGUGUGAAGAAGGCCUUCGGGUUGUAAAGCACUUUCAGUGGGGAAGAAAGCCUUGGGGCUAAUACCCUCGAGGAAGGACAUCACCCACAGAAGAAGCACCGGCUAACUCCGUGCCAGCAGCCGCGGUAAUACGGAGGGUGCGAGCGUUAAUCGGAAUUACUGGGCGUAAAGCGCGCGUAGGCGGUCUGAUAAGCCGGUUGUGAAAGCCCCGGGCUCAACCUGGGAACGGCAUCCGGAACUGUCAGGCUAGAGUGCAGGAGAGGAAGGUAGAAUUCCCGGUGUAGCGGUGAAAUGCGUAGAGAUCGGGAGGAAUACCAGUGGCGAAGGCGGCCUUCUGGACUGACACUGACGCUGAGGUGCGAAAGCGUGGGUAGCAAACAGGAUUAGAUACCCCGGUAGUC
rnacentral:rRNA from 1 species